UCAGUCACACCUUGCAUGCUGAUAACAAUUCUGGGCACAGUGAAGCGCAAUGCAAACAGGCUUGCUUGAGAUUUCAAGAGAGGGCAUGAUGUCGCCUUCCACUGUAACCCGCGCUUCAGUAAGAACAACAGGGGAGCCAUUGUUUGCAUUACAAAGCUGGAGAAUAUCUGGGGAAAGGAAGGAAGAAAGACAGGCAGAUUUCCCCUUUGAAAGUGGUAAACCAAAACAGUUUCUGAGGGAAGAACCAUCAACAGCUUUUACUGAUUGCUGGAAGAACGCAGCAAUCAGUGGAUGAGAAAGGAAAGUCUGAGUACUGUAAUAUAAUUUAUCUUAAAACUCCAUGGAGAAGAGACUGUUAUCAAACUGAGGUUUAUGAAGGAUUACGUCUCUUGCCCAAGGCCAUAUAUGGCCUUCAACAUUUGGAUUUAAAACAGUGGCAGGGUAGAGAUUAAAACCCAAGUCAAAGCCCACACUCUUUGCCACUAUCCUGUACACAUCUUGGGCCGCUGCUAGACACACCGGAACCACCUGUUGGAUAUGCCAGAAACAUCUGCUGGAUACGCUGAAACCACCUGCCAAAUAUGCCAGAAUCAGGUCCCGGACAUGGUGGAAACACCUGCCAGACACGUCCAAAUCACCUGUCAGAUACGCCAAAACCAUGUGCCACAC
rnacentral:lncRNA from 1 species